GUGAAGCGGGAAAAGCUCAAAUUUAAAAUCUGGUGGUCUUUGGCCAUCCGAGUUGUAAUUUAGAGAAGCGUUUUCCGCGCUGGACCGUGCACAAGUCUCCUGGAAUGGAGCGUCAUAGAGGGUGAGAAUCCCGUCUUUGGCACGGACAUGCCAGGGCUUUUGUGAUGCGCUCUCGAAGAGUCGAGUUGUUUGGGAAUGCAGCUCAAAAUGGGUGGUGAACUCCAUCUAAAGCUAAAUAUUGGCGAGAGACCGAUAGCGAACAAGUACCGUGAGGGAAAGAUGAAAAGCACUUUGGAAAGAGAGUGAAACAGUACGUGAAAUUGUUGAAAGGGAAACGCUUGAAGUCAGUCACGUCGACCGAGACUCAGCCUCGCCUCGGCUUGGUGUACUUCUCGGCUGACGGGUCAGCAUCAAUUUUGCCCCUUGGAUAAUGGUGAGGGAAAUGUGACACCUUUACGGUGUGUUAUAGUCUCUUGUCGCAUGCAAGGGUCGGGAUUGAGGAACUCAGCACGCGCCUUUGGGUGUCGGGGCCUUUUGCCCACGAUACGUGCUUAGGAUGUUGGCAUAAUGGCUUUAAACGACCCGUCUUGAAAAACACGG
rnacentral:rRNA from 1 species